rnacentral:rRNA from 1 species
AUAUUGCGCAAUGGGGGAAACCCUGACGCAGCAACGCCGCGUGCAGGAAGAAGGUCUUCGGAUUGUAAACUGUUGUCGCAAGGGAAGAAGAAAGUGACGGUACCUUGUGAGAAAGUCACGGCUAACUACGUGCCAGCAGCCGCGGUAAUACGUAGGUGACAAGCGUUGUCCGGAUUUACUGGGUGUAAAGGGCGUGCAGGCGGGAUAGUAAGUCAGUCGUGAAAUGCCGAGGCUUAACCUCGGAGCUGCGAUUGAAACUGUUAUUCUUGAGUAUCGGAGAGGAAAGCGGAAUUCCCAGUGUAGCGGUGAAAUGCGUAGAUAUUGGGAGGAACACCAGUGGCGAAGGCGGCUUUCUGGACGACAACUGACGCUGAGACGCGAAAGUGUGGGGAGCAAACAG